ensembl:rRNA 5S_rRNA 5S ribosomal RNA
GCUUACGGCCAUACCAACCUGGCUAUGCCUGAUCUCGUCUGAUCUCGGAAGCUAAGCAGGUUUGGGCCUGGUUAGUACUUGGAUGGGAGACCGCCUGGGAAUACCAGGUGCUGUAAGCU